rnacentral:tRNA from 1 species
GGGGAUGUAGCUUAGUUGGUAGAGGGUUUGCCUUCCAUGCAUAAGGCCCUGGUUUCAAUACCCAACCCCA